AAUCUUUUAGAUACCGUACUGGGGCUCCUUUCACGAAGCAACCUUUACUAAGGUUAACCUUAACUCCCAUUCUUUUACAUUGAACUAAGGUUACUUUAGUGAUUUUACGACCACCUUAGC